GAGCGACGCCGAAGGAGCGGGAGCGACUCACUCAUGGGAGCGCGGCGGGCGAGGCCGGCGACACCUCCGGCUUCCGAGGCGCCGGCGAAGUUAAUUGCACUGAAGUUCAAGUUGUCUUUUCACCCAUCAGGAGUGGGCGUUUAAAGGAAGGAGAGCGAGGAGGAGGAGGGGGAGGGGGGAGAGCCUCUCUCGCUCGCUCUCGCACACACACACACACACGCACACACACACACACAUACACAGAGAGAGAGAGAGAGAGAGAGACGCGCACACAGACACACGCACACAGACGCGCACGCCCGCCCGCUCCCGCGCUGCCUCAGCAGGAGGAGCCCGGCCGGAACACACCAGGGCAGCACCAGAUAAAAAUUUAUUUGCCUGUAGCUGGUCUGCUGUAGCGCUUUGGACCUAUUCGCUUCUCAGAGAAGACUUGGCUUUUCAUGGUCUCUAGGUACCACGGGGCAAUAAAUAGAAAGUCAGUGCAAGGGGGAUGUUCACACUUUUACAGUCACAACUCUCCGCUGCCUCCUCGCUGAGCUCUUCUGUCUGCCUAACCAGCAUGCUCCUGUUGUCCAAGACCCAUCUCCUUUAUUUGUAUCACACCCCUGUCUGGCUGGUGAGGUAAUGAAACUGUUGAAUCUGCAGACUGAAACCGUCAGAAGCCUUUCCUGAGGUGCCCCUUACUGAAAUGCUACUGUGGCAUAAUGAUUUGGAAAUAAGCUUUUGUGUGAGAAGAGCUAUCGGAUCCUCUGGGAAACAUUACAGAUACUUUCCAGUUCCUUUCAGACAUGUAAAUAUGUUUAGACAUGAGCAGAGGGUAGAGCUGGGGAGUGGAGUAGGGUGGGGUUAGAAGCUUCCUCAUAGAUCCUGGAACCAAAUAAAUACAUGCGUUUUUUUUUCUUCUUAUCUGAUGUUAGCUGGAACUUGAAAUGGUCAAUAUUCAGAAGAAAAACUGCAUAAAUGUGUGUAUAUGUAAGAGUUAUGUUGACCCAUGAUUAAAAGAGAGGGUCCUCUUCUGCUGUUCAUCACAAAUGAUCAACAGAACUCUUCAUAAUGCUCAGAUGCUUGCAUCGAUCCCAAGAAAUACGAACUUUAUGAAGUAUGACUUGUUUCCGUCUCAAAGUGUGCAGCUAUAGCUAUAGCACUGAAAACCGUUGCAUGCUAUCUAGCAUUUCUCAUGAUUUUUUGCUUUCUUCAUGAUUUAAGCUAAGCACAUCAGAAACUGAAGAUAACGUUUUAACCUAUAAGAACAGCAGCCUGACUUCUGUAAUGUGCUCAUGUGCUAUUACCUGUGAAACAGAGCAAGAAGACUGCUCACUAGCAGGGUCUGCCCAUCGCUGUCCAGCUGCCUAAUGACAUGUUAAGACUUGGUUUCAGCAACUGUGCUCCAACCAGUAUUACUAUAAUUGGUUGUAGUUGAAGAUGUCAGUAAAAAAAUACAAUCAGGCUGGAGUGUCCUACGCAUAUUUUAAAUGCAAAUGGCCGUUAUCAGCUGUAUCAUAACUUUAUCUGAUGUCUGAUCUUAGUGGUGGCUCUGUGGAAAAGACUCAGAUGACUUUUUCUGAACACAGCUGCUCCUUUCAGUGCAUUUCUGCAGUCUUUUGAUUAUCUUACUUACUAUCUGUUGGCUAGACACCAACCUCCUGAACUUAGGCCUGUGUCACCUCACUACCUGUGUCUCUCCUAAAAAAUCUGUUCAUUCAAAAGGAUAUCAUGCCAACAAUAUAACAGAUUCAUCUGUCUUUCUGCAAACUGGCUUGAGUUUCUUCCAGCCACUCACUGGGGUUGCUUGUUUCCAGGCCCUGAUGCUGCACAGUACCUCAAUCCAUUCAGCUUCUCUUCAAGAUGGUAACUACUUUCCGCUCCACAUCUCUGCUGCAGAAGAUCUUGUGAUUACCUGAAAAAGUGAAUUGCAUCCUGUAGAUUUCCCCUUAAAACUUCUGCUUCACAGAAGAGAUCAGCUUGUGACAGAUGCGUCAGCAAUGUCAGACUCACUUCUCUGUUGCCUAAUUGCCCUCUCCACCUUCUGUCAAUCUGAAACUCUCAUUUUGGAAAGGACUGAAGGAGUUGUAUUAAUAUUUGUGCUAUCCACAUUUUUCCUGCAUAUUGUCUGCUCCUUCCCUUGGUGUCUGGUUUGUCUUGGCUGCUUUUAAAAAUUCUGUUGCCUCUAGUGAGGGACUGCCAGAUUAAACCAGUACAGAGAAUCCAGGUGACUGUCUACUUUUACAAAUAUAGGUUGUGUAUAAUAAAUUCAGGUUUUACAUCUAUGCAAAUUAAGUCAUCAUAUGAUUAUGACUACAUGCAUUUUUUUAUCAAAUAUGGCAUAUAUUUCACAAAUUAUAUUUAACUUAUACACAUGUUGCUAUUCUGAAUACCUGACUAGGAAUUACAAAGUGUGUCACUAGAUCUUAGUAAGUGGGCUUAUGGAACAAGAAGAAAUAAGAGAAAAUCACCUCUUUUCCUUGCAUUCCUGACAAGUCCAGUGUAAGGGCUUUUCCUACUCUAGAUGGCAAUAUAAACACCUUACCACAGAGCUGUUGAGAGAUAAAAGUACAUCUUGUUGUUGGAAACUUAAAGAAUGUAUGAAAAACAAAACAAAAUACCCUAAAAAAGGAAGUUUUAAAGUAAUGUGUCUUUGGUCUAGUGUUUGUCACAUCUACUUGGUAUGGCCUUCCUCUAAUGUUUCAGUCAUGCAGUGUAAGACAUUAGUCACAAUGUCAAAAUAAGCACAUUACUUCUGCAAAAAUGUAUUUUCACCUCAGGAAUAUUGUGAAGUGAAAAUAGGAUUUAGCACAAUUCUUCCUUUUGAGUUUUUCUACAGACAGGACAGUUUUAGUGUAAAGCUCUAAAUCUUGCAAGAUUAUUCCCAGCAUUAGGUACGACACAUCUGGAAGAAUCUGCCAACUGAGUGCUGGCAAGGAUUACGCUGAGAAGGUAACAACUCAGUGCUUUCACUGUUAACCGUCCUCCACAACUGCUGUUUUUUGGUGUUUUUGUGUGUGUGUGUUCGUUUGUUUCUUUGUUUUCCGAAUAAAUAAACAAAUACUUUGUUGAGCUCAA
rnacentral:lncRNA from 1 species